rnacentral:tRNA from 1 species
GAAAAAGUAAUAGCUAAGAACUGCUAAUUCUUAAGCCCCAUAUAUAAAAAUAUGGCUUUUUU